GUAGGUGGCAAGCGUUGUCCGGAAUUAUUGGGGCGUAAAGCGCGCGCAGGCGGUCUCUUGAGUCUGAUGUGAAAGCCCACGGGCUCAACCGUGGAGGGUCAUUGGAAACUGGGGGACUUGAGUACAGAAGAGGAAAGUGGAAUUCCACGUGUAGCGGUGAAAUGCGUAGAUAUGUGGAGGAACACCAGUGGCGAAGGCGACUUUCUGGUCUGUAACUGACGCUGAGGCGCGAAAGCGUGGGGAGCAAACAGGAUUAGAUACCCUGGUAGUCCACGCCGUAAACGAUGAGUGCUAAGUGUUAGAGGGUUUCCGCCCUUUAGUGCUGCAGCUAACGCAUUAAGCACUCCGCCUGGGGAGUACGGUCGCAAAGACUGA
rnacentral:rRNA from 1 species